rnacentral:rRNA from 1 species
UCAGGAUGAACGCUGGCGGCGUGCCUAAUACAUGCAAGUCGAACGAGCGAGAUCCAGCUUGCUGGAUUAGCGAGUGGCGAACGGGUGAGUAAUACGUAAGCAACCUGCCUACACGGACUGGGAUAACACCUGGAAACGGGCGCUAAUACCGGAUAGGUAACGAGAGGGCAUCCUCUUGUUAUUAAAGGUUUGAAACACAAGUAGAUGGGCUUACGGUGCAUUAGCUAGUUGGUGAGGUAACGGCCCACCAAGGCGAUGAUGCAUAGCCGGCCUGAGAGGGUGAACGGCCACAUUGGGACUGAGACACGGCCCAGACUCCUACGGGAGGCAGCAGUAGGGAAUUUUCGGCAAUGGGCGCAAGCCUGACCGAGCAACGCCGCGUGAAGUGAUGAAGGUUUUCGGAUCGUAAAGCUCUGUUGUAAGGGAAGAAUGGCGCGGAUAGACUCCGCGAUUGACGGUACCUUACCAGAAAGCCACGGCUAACUACGUGCCAGCAGCCGC